GUCUAGUCUGCCCACUGAAUUUAAUUUUUAAUGGCCGCAGUAUUUUGACUGUGCAAAGGUAGCAUAAUCAUUAGUUUUUUAAUUAAAAGCUUGUAUGAAAGGCUGGACGAGGUAGAAUCUGUCUCUAUUUAAAUUAUAGUAGAAUUUAAUUUUUAAGUUAAAAAGCUUAAAUAUUAUUAAAAGACGAGAAGACCCUAUAGAUCUUUAUAAUUUAUUAAAUGAAAUUAAUUUAGAAUUAUUUAUUUUUUAUUUUAAUAAAUUAUUUUAUUGGGGUAAUAGAAAGAUUGAGUUAAUUCUUUUUUGUAAUAAACAUUGAUUUAUGAAUAUUAAAUGAUCCAGUUUUACUGAUUAUAAGAUUAAGUUACCUUAGGGAUAACAGCGUAAUUUUUUUAGAGAGUUCAUAUCGAUAAAAAAGUUUGCGACCUCGAUGUUGGAUUAAAGAUUAUUUUAGGUGUAGAAGCUUAAUAAUUUUGGUCUGUUCGACCAUUAAAUCUUUACAUGAUCUGAGUUCAGACCGGCGUAAGCCAGGUCGGUUUCUAUCUUUAAUAAAAUAAAAUAUUUUAGUACGAAAGGACCAAAUAUUUAAUAUAUUUAUAUUUAAUUUAUUGAAUAUUAUUAAAGUUUUUAUUAUUUUGGCAGAUUAGUGCAAUGAAUUUAGAAUUCAUUUAUGUAAUUUAUUUACAAAUAAUACUUGUUUUAUAUAGAUAUUGUUUUUUCUUUAGUAUGUAUAUUAUUAUUAAUUGUUUGUGUUUUAGUGGGGGUUGCUUUUUUAACUUUAUUGGAACGAAAGGUUUUAGGUUAUAUUCAAAUUCGUAAGGUCCUAACAAAGUAGGAUUUAUAGG
rnacentral:rRNA from 1 species